UAGGGAGAACUUUGUAUCCUGGC
rnacentral:piRNA from 1 species